rnacentral:rRNA from 1 species
AUUGAACGCUGGCGGCAGGCCUAACACAUGCAAGUCGAACGGUAACAGGAAGCAGCUUGCUGCUUCGCUGACGAGUGGCGGACGGGUGAGUAAUGUCUGGGAAGCUGCCUGAUGGAGGGGGAUAACUACUGGAAACGGUAGCUAAUACCGCAUAAUGUCGCAAGACCAAAGAGGGGGACCUUCGGGCCUCUUGCCAUCGGAUGUGCCCAGACGGGAUUAGCUUGUUGGUGGGGUAACGGCUCACCAAGGCGACGAUCCCUAGCUGGUCUGAGAGGAUGACCAGCCACACUGGAACUGAGACACGGUCCAGACUCCUACGGGAGGCAGCAGUGGGGAAUAUUGCACAAUGGGCGCAAGCCUGAUGCAGCCAUGCCGCGUGUAUGAAGAAGGCCUUCGGGUUGUAAAGUACUUUCAGCGGGGAGGAAGGGAGUAAAGUUAAUACCUUUGCUCAUUGACGUUACCCGCAGAAGAAGCACCGGCUAACUCCGUG